UAGUACUUGUACCUCCUUUUCAGCUGUAACUAUUGCAUCGUUGUGAUGUUACGGAUCUAGGGAAAUGACUAGCCGAUGACAAAUCGUAUCAAAAGGUCACCACUGUUGGUGGCUAAGUUCGCACUACUGUUGCUACGCCACACGGCUCGCUCAGUUCUGUCACGGGUGGAGGAACGAUGCGCCCCAGACUGACCUCGGCUCGGGCCCUGACUGUCCUGAUCGGGCUGCUGCUGAUGGGACUGGCUACAUUUACUACAUUGACUGCAGUGUCGGGUCAGCGGGAGUCGGACGGCGGCGGCGGCGGAGCGGACGAGUGUCUGCUGUGUCGCCGUGCCCUGGAGGAGCCGUGCGCUCCGACAGCUGACGGAGGGUGCGGCCCGGUCUGUCCCCCGAGGUGCGGGCACGCGUCACCCGGCGGUGGCGGAGGGGCAGGAGAGACUGGACCGAUGAAACCGGAGCCGUAGAUCACCAGGUAGGAAUAGACGAACGGGAGCAAUUAAACUGAACUCUGGGAACCAACAUGUGUUCUCUUGCGCGAAUAUAAAGAUUUGAAAUGAAGACCAAUGGUCCGCAAGUACCUAGGAUCAUCGCUAAAGCAGCGUUCCUGCCGCCUGUUGCCGAUUUAGUCAAGUAACUAGUGUGACUGUCCCACUCCUCCCAGGCUAUCUGUUUCCAUUCAACUGAUCCUCAACCCAUGUGUCAUCAAUCGUCUCCCCUCAUUCUUAUCUUCCUUCCGCUAUCCAUGCCCAAAACCCUUUACUUAUUUGUCUUUAUUACUGGUCUCACUAGACGUCUCCAGCGUGACACAGCAAUUGUCACUGUCAUGAGUCACUUGUCAGCCCCCUGACAGUGUCACCUGACAGCUCUCUUCCCAGCCCGCACCUCGUGACAGUCGAUCCCGCUGACAUUCUCUACUCAGCAGUUUGUGUACAACAUGUAAAUACCAACCGGCGACCUUACCACAAAGCCGGAUUUGCGACUGAACAACGAACCGUACCAAAAGGUCACCGAUGUCCUCAAAUAGGCGCGGCUGUUGUCCGCAACACAAUCACUCACGAAAAGACCACCGCGCGUGCGACACAACCGAGUGUAAACUCGUUACGAUUUGACUGGACUGGACUAUACCAGACUAGACUAAGCUCUACUGGACUGGGCUAGCUAACAAGACUAGACAAGACAGCUAGUCAGAAAGUACCAGACAUGGAUAUUUAUAAGCUGAAAGGACCGAAGCUCUGGCUCCUGCUGGGACUAGUCGCCUGCACGACGGAGUCGGCUCUACCGGUAACUGAUGAUGCGGGGACCAUACCAUCCACAUGGCCGAUACUGGGCGAAUGUCCAUGGCCCAGUCGUCUGUUCAAGUCUCAAGUCAAAUCCCACCAGCUCCCCAGAUGCGAGUCUUUGUUCGCGAGGUGUGAUGACCCGUCGUACCGCUGCUGCCGAUGGGGCCCCAUUCCCCACCAGCUGGCCUGCGCCCCCACGUGCUUUCCCCCCUGUGAAUGGGGUAGAAGAUGCCAGCUGGAGCAGUUUCUGACCAGCGGCGGGAUUGCCACGACGGUACUGAAGCUCCGCUCCGUUUGCGUGUAGGUGGGCGGAUCACGGCGCUGCCUGCAGUAGGCAUCUCUUGAGCUGAUUCAGCAGUACGGAAAUAAAAUGGGCAUAUAUAAGAACAAGUCUUCAUAUGUGUGAAUGACCGGGU
rnacentral:lncRNA from 1 species